CGGGGCGUAGCUUAGCCCGGUAGAGCGCCUGCUUCGGGAGCAGGAGGUCGCUGGUUCAAAUCCAGUCGCCCCGA
rfam:Gemmatimonas aurantiaca T-27 DNA, complete genome.